UACGUAGGGUGCUAGCGUUGUCCGGAUUUAUUGGGCGUAAAGAGCGUGUAGGCGGCCAGGUAGGUCUGCUGUGAAAACUCGAGGCUCAACCUCGAGACGUCGGCGGAAACCAUCUGGCUAGAGUCCGGAAGAGGAGAGUGGAAUUCCUGGUGUAGCGGUGAAAUGCGCAGAUAUCAGGAAGAACACCUAUGGCGAAGGCAGCUCUCUGGGACGGUACUGACGCUGAGACGCGAAAGCGUGGGGAGCGAACAGG
rnacentral:rRNA from 1 species